rnacentral:rRNA from 1 species
UACGGAGGGUGCAAGCGUUAAUCGGAAUUACUGGGCGUAAAGCGUGCGCAGGCGGUUUGUUAAGUCUGUUGUGAAAUCCCCGAGCUCAACUUGGGAAUUGCAAUGGAUACUGGCAGGCUGGAGUAUGGUAGAGGAAGGUGGAAUUCCCGGUGUAGCAGUGAAAUGCGUAGAGAUCGGGAGGAACACCUGUGGCGAAGGCGGCCCCCUGGUUGGAUACUGACGCUGAUACGCGAAAGCGUGGGGAGCAAACAGG